GAGGAAGAAAAGUCUCUUAUUAAUUAUACAAUAUAAUAUAAAACAAAUAAACAAAAUAUGGGAAAAUCAAAACCAACUUUCUUAGCCACAAAAAGAAGAGGAAAAACAUUUUGACCUACUCUGCUUCUUAGAAGUUCAACGCAAGCAAUUUUUUUUUUUUUUUUUUUGUGAUUCUCGUCUUCUCCAACACACAUAGAGUUGGAUUCCACAAGCUAGACCAGUGCCUUUUUUGAAGAAAACUUGGUUGGGAUUCUUGUUCUUUAUAAUUGGAAGUUUCAAGUUGAAGAAAAUAUGCUCAAAAUCCAGGUGGAUAUGUUUCAUAAUGUACAUGUGAUGAUUGUUUGCUUCGAUUAAUUGUGGAGGAUGAAAAGAAAAUUGAUCAAAUCAAGAAAUGCUUACAGAGAUUGGGGAGGAAGUAUGUAGACUCAAAUAUGUAGUUUUUGUUUUUUAAUGCAAUAUUUACAAUGCACCCCUUUUUUUCCUUCGUUUGGGAUUUUGUCUCAUUGGAUUUUCCCCAAACAAAGUUUUAAUGAGGCCCCAAAGGGUUCUUCCUUAUCUUUUAUAAAUUUUUAUCAUUUUAAUUAAUUAGUUUUUUUUUUUUUUUGUUUAAUUUGUAUAAAGGGGCACACUUGAGAAAAUUUGCCCUGGGCCUUAGAAAACCCAGGCUCUGUAGACAUGCCUUCUAUAUUCUACUGGUAGCGUCAUAUUUUAGUCAUAUUUCAGUUUGUGUAGCAUGCAAGUAAAAGUUGUUUUGCAGGUAUGGACGAAUUUGCGCAUGCCUAAGGGAAAGCAGUUUCUCAUUCCUAUCUGCGGUUAUCCUAAGCCUAAUUAAAAAAGCCACAGAAAGUGUAGGAUUGAGGUUGAUGAAAAUCCAGGCUUAGUAUCAAAAACAGAUAAUGAGAAAAAGAAUAAGAAGAAGUCAUUGAAUAAGGUAUAUAUCCAUGUAGGCUCCUAGCUUGCACUGUGCUCCAAAGUCUUGUGGACAUAACCGGUAAAAGAGUUGUGGGGAGAAGAAAUCAAUGGGGGCUUGUACAUCACACUGUUAAUCUUUUUGCCGAAUGGGUGCUGAACCAGUUUAUUUUUUUCUUCUUCAAUUUUCUUUUUUGUUGCGUAGAUGAGAUGGUUGAAAAGUCUAACAACAGCUGAUAUUGUGAAUUUUAGACAACCUACAAAAUGGUAAUUAUAAAGAUUAGUCUAAACACAAAUUAUACUCGUAAGUGCACAAGGUCAAUCGUAAUUUAGUAUGGUAAAUACGAGGUCAUUCUCACGAGGAUUGAGUUCAA